AAUGCACACAAAACCCAAAGAACAUUGUUUUAUCUAAUAAUGCUCUUGCCUGAUGUGCAGAUAUUAAACGCUACCUUGUCGCCUUUCAUUUGCUGCUGUGCUACUGAAAGUGAAAUCAAGGUUCAACACUU